CGGGUGGACAUUUGAACCCCAAAACCCUCGAAGGAAAACGGCUCCGAUUCCGCCCCCUCGUGUCUGGAGGAUACCCAUUUCUUCUCUUCUCUCUUUCGAGAUGUUAGAAUUCUAAACAUAUCUUUCCUUCUUCACGAAAUUUAUACCUAUAUUUCUCCUUUCUAUUGACCCAAGCCAUAGCAACUGAGAAAGUCGCAAUCUUUUCUCCCCAGAUGUUCCCGUACUGGAAUCCCAAACCUUUUCCCAGACGUCCAUGCGGCGGCUCGCCAAGAUCCCAUUUUCUCUUCUCAAAAAACCAACCACCACUCCGAUUUCCCACCGCUUCUCUUCCUCGGCAUCCGCCUCUCUUAUUCAAGUAGUCCCGGAGGAGAAAGAGACCUCCAGCUCAAAUUCAAGCCCCUCUUCGCAAGAUUCUUGUGGAUUCUCAUCUGUUGAGGUUCUUCAAACCUUGAGCAGUCUCGAGAGGAAGCCCGACGCUGCUUUCGCCUUCUUUAACAACACCAAGAGCCUCGGUUUUCGGCACGACCUUUCCAGCUACUCGGAGAUGGUUCGCAUCUUAGACAACUCGGGACACAAGAAAAAGUUGAUAUCUUUGUGCUCGGAGCUCAUUUCGUCGAAUACCAAUAUGGGUUUUGAAGUCUCAGCUCUCUUUGAUGCCCUUUUGCAGAGAUUCCAUCGGCCGGAGAUGUUACUUCUUCUGUUUGAUGCAUUGAUCAAGGCGUACGCCAUUUGUGGGAAGCCCAAGGAGGCUGCCCGCGCUUUCUUCCAGCUUCCUGGACUCGGUUUCGUACCGUCAGCAAAGUCUUGCAAUUUUCUUAUGAAUUUCCUGGCUAAAGUUGGUGACUUGGAGAUGGUGAUGGCUGUUUUUGAUCAGAUGAAGAGGUUUGGAACGAGCCGGGAUGCUUGCACAUUUACCAUUUUGAUCAAAGCAUUCUGCCGAGCUGGGCAAGUAGAAGAGGCGCUUGACGUUUUGAAUGGAAUGAAGGAGAUGGGAAUUAAGCCUGAUGAGAUCACUUACCUGACGGUUAUAGAAGGGAUGUGCAACAAUGGGAAAUCGGAUUUGGGUUAUGUAUUUCUUAAAGAGAUUGUAAGAGAGGGCACCCCUUUGGAGCACAUCGCUUAUAAUAAGGUGAUUGGUGGCUUGUGUAGAGAGAUGAGGCUUCAGGAGGCUGAAAAAGUUUUGGAGGACAUGGCAAGACAGAAUAUGCUCCCUGAUAUGUUUAGUUACAAAUUUCUUAUUAGAGGUUAUUGUGCAAGCAAGAACCUCUUAAGAGUUUUAGAUCUUUAUGAGGAGAUGAUUGCGAAGGGUAUCGGACCAGAUCAUGUCGUUGUGAGCCUUUUGCUCCAAUGUUUUUGUAAAGCAGGCAUGGCGUCUGAGGCUUUAGUCUACUUUAAGAGGUUUAAGGACCCAGGACUUUACCUUGACAAGAUUUUAUAUAAUAUUGUGAUAGAUGUUCACUGCAAGAUGGGAAAUAUGAACGAGGCGGUUCAACUGCUUCAAGAGAUGAAGUGCCAGGGCUUGGUUCCAGAUAGAAUCCAUUUCACGAAUUUGAUAAAUGGGUACUGCUGCAAGGGUGAAAUGUAUAAUGCUCACAAAGUGUUUACUGAUAUGGUGAACAGCAAUGUGGAGCCCGACCUUGUUACCUACAAUAUACUUGCUACUGGAUUUUGUAGGAAUGGGCUUACGAAGGAGGCAUUUGAUCUUCUAGAAUAUAUGUUGGACAGAGGUGUUGAGCCUAAUGCUACCACCUAUAGUAUGAUUAUUGUGAGCCUCUGUAGAGGUGGCAAGUUAAAGGAGGCAACUCUACUAUUUAAAUCCUUAGAGGGGAGGGGGAUCGAUCAAUAUUUAGUUCUUUGUAGUGCUAUGGUUUGUGGGUACUUAGAAUGUAGUUGUACAAGAGAAGCUUAUGCACUUUUCAUUAGAGUCUCUAAGCAAGGACAUCUAGUGAAUGAGAUUGCAUGCUCCAAACUUAUUUCUGAGCUUUGUAGGGAGGGAGAUGUAGAGAGAGCUUCCAUGGUGUUUGAGUUGAUGCUCAAGAUGGAUGUUACCCCAGAUGUAAUUUCCUAUAGCAAACUUAUUGCAGCUUAUUCUCAGAUUGGAGAUAUGAGACAUGCUCGGGUUUGGUUUAAGGAUCUGAUUGUACGAGGGCUUUCCCCUGAUGUUGUUUUGUACACUACACUAAUGAAUGGGUACUGCAAGGUUAAUCAUUUACAAGAAGCCUGCAAAUUGUUUGUUGAUAUGAUAGAACGAGGGAUUAAACCUGAUGUAGUUGCAUACACAGUUAUGUUGGAUGGUCAUUUGAAAGAAAUCUUGAGCCAAAGUUGGUUAAACCGUGACAAGGAAAAGGGAAGAGCUGAAAUAAGAGCCAAAUCUUCAACAUUGUUAAAUUGGAUGACCACCAUGGGGAUCAAACCUGAUGUCAUUUUUUGCACCGUAUUGAUUGAUGGACAAUGCAAGAUGGAUCAUGUUCAGGAUGCCCAUAAAUUAUUUGAAGAGAUGAUGGUAGGUGGGGUGAUGCCUGAUGUAGUCACCUAUACUACUUUAGUAAGUGGUUACUGCAGACAGGGAGAAGUAUGUAAGGCUGAAGACCUGUUAGAGGAUAUGCUAGAUUGAACAAUACCACCUGAUGCUGUCUCAUUUUUUGUCCUGGAUCGGUGGAGCUUGAGGUUCAGAUGUUUACAGCUCCGACAAUAAUUCUUGUUUUGGAAAGUUGUGAGGAGACAAACAUAACAUCUUGUCUUAGGAGGCAAUGCAAUACUUUUAUUUCUCAGACUGCAUAAAUGGUGGGCAUUUCUGAAUGGAUGGCACACUAACAUGAUGCAGGCCUUAAAGUGCAGUGGAAGAUUCUACCACAGGAUUGCUAAAGCUCCAAUGUAACAGGCUUAAGCUUCUCUGUUUCCGUCCAUGGUUUAUGUUGAGCUUCAGCUUUGACAUUGAAUUUAGUACAAGAUGCCUUAUGCCAUAUUCUAGGAACAUCCACAUGUUUGAACUGAUUGAGAGUGAAAUCCAAUGGUCAAAGGUAAGGGAUCUAGCACCUUACUUGAAGAUCUUCUUGAGGAAAUUUCCUGUUGCGUAAUAUCCACAGUAGCAUUGAAAGAUGUUGGCAGUACUUGUAUUUUUCCACAGAUAUGGAGAUACGCUUGGGUUUUGAUUUACCAACAAGCCCCAGUGAAUUCAUUCAAUUAAAACACUUGGUGCUGAUCUUUCUCAGUGGCUUGGAUGAGGAAGAAAACUGUUUUGGAUUGAUUUCUCUUCUUAAUGCUGCUCCUAUACUGGAGAAAUUUGAGUUGCAUGUUGAGUUCUGAUAUAUGUUGGUGAGAUGGAAUUAACUUGCACCAAGCUAGGCCAAUAAGCAUGGACUUGGCUGAGCAAGGUUCAAGUCUGGGACCCAUGCAAGAGGAGAAACAUUUAUUGGAGGUCCCACGUACAUGGAUGGGUUAACUGCUCUGACAUCCUGGUGGAGGAUCCAGUGUUGCAUCCCUCUCCUUUUCUAGCACUUUUGUCCCUAUGAAAGGUACUCUUUGUUCUUUUGCCUGUUUCUACCAUUCACCUGUCCCUAUAAGGGUAGCAAGUUUUAGAUAUUCCCACAACUGAUAAUUUUUGUUAUCAUCAUCGUUUAUGAGGAGAUGGCAUUGGAUUCUGUAGAAAGCCGAGCAAUAAUUGAAAGGAUAUUUUAGGAACACUCUCCUGCCUUCAAUAAUUUGAAAGUGCCUAUCGAUCUCUCCGCAUCUUUCCUCAACUUAUCUUCUGAUGCCCGUCACAUACUAGUUCUUGAUGCACAUAUCUUUUUUAUGAAGAUGGAUUUGAUCAUCAUGGUUUGUAGAUGCCUUGCAGUAUGAAGAGUUCGCCUUAGAGCUUGUCGACAGCCAUUGCGAAGGUUUUGCAUUGCAUUGUUUCGGAAAUGCAGUCGAGCAAAUUAAGCUGCAUAAUCUUAAGGUUGUUCUAGCUCCUUACAGGCUUGUCUAUCCUUCUACAGAAAUUUCAAUAAUUUGAGGGAAUACUCUUAAUGCUGAGGGUUGAUAUGGUCAGACUGGCAAAUAAGACCAGCGAACAACCCAUGAGAGUUUCCUAAGCAUUCCCUUGUCUGCUUCCAUUUCCAGCUCAUCAACCUCGCUGUUGUUGGCUAGUCCAUCUCAACAUCCCACAUGGACAUUGGUGCCUCGCCGGCCCCUCGCUCUCUUCUUCUCCUCUCUCAUACCAUCCAUCUAUUCUUUCCUCCAAAAAAAA